GGAGGAUUCGCAUAGUGGUCUAGUGCACUACCUUGGAAAGGUAGCAACUGGGAAACCGGUUCGAGGGUUCGAAUCCCUCAUCCUCCGC
rnacentral:tRNA from 1 species